AACGAACGCUGGCGGCAUGCCUAACACAUGCAAGUCGAACGAGACCUUCGGGUCUAGUGGCGCACGGGUGCGUAACGCGUGGGAACCUGCCCUUAGGUUCGGAAUAACUCCCCGAAAGGGGUGCUAAUACCGGAUAAUGUCUUCGGACCAAAGAUUUAUCGCCUUUGGAUGGGCCCGCGUUUGAUUAGCUAGUUGGUAGGGUAAAGGCCUACCACGGCGACGAUCCAUAGCUGGUCUGAGAGGAUGAUCAGCCACACUGGGACUGAGACACGGCCCAGACUCCUACGGGAGGCAGCAGUGGGAAAUAUUGGACCAUGGGCGAAAGCCUGAUCCCGCAAUGCCGCGUGAGUGAUGAAGGCCUUAGGGUUGUAAAGCUCUUUUAACCGGGAUGAUAAUGCCAGUACCGGGAGAAUAAGCUCCGGCUAACUCCGUG
rnacentral:rRNA from 1 species